ACGACACAUUGGAAGCUGUGUUUGAGAAGCAGGGGGAGACAGACGCCACAGGAUCAACCCCACGCAGGUCUUCACCUGCGGUCGGUGAGGGGGAAGAGGAGGCGAUCUAGACAGCGGACAUAUUGUCACGUGAGCAGAGUUCGAUGGCUGAUUAGAACAUUCUUGACCACCCUCUGAAAAUUCCUGGAAAAAAGAUGGCUCAGAGAACUUGGCAGCUUCCCUGUGGUCAGAUUGCUGUGACAAAUUCACAAAUAACGUGAAUGACUAUUUCACUCAUCCUCACCUGGACCAGUUGUGUGCUGAGUCAAAUAUGGAAAAAUCACAUUAGUAUCUGGUCUUUUGAAUUAAGACUCUUUUGAUGUAAUGGAGGGAUCUUCAUUCUCUACUCCCGCUCUUGAUGCUAUGAUGCAUGAAUCCUGAUAAAUGCAAGUAAACAAAAGAUGGUGUUUUGUUCUUCAUCUUCUUGUUCUUAGCACCGUACUUAACAAAGAUCAUUUUAUUAUAUAUCAGUUUAUCCUGACAUACCUACACCAUGCCGCUCAUUGAUGAACUCAGUAUUUCAAACUCUGAACAAUAAGAUUGUCGACCUUUCGUCAAAAUACCCCAAUGAUCAUUUGAACCCACUGAUCAUAAUAUGGAAUAGGGAUGGUGAUGUGAAUAUACAGGAUGGUGUCAUAUUUGAACCAAAUCAUGUUGCCCCUGUCAUAAACGAGAAAAUUGAAGAACCACGUGUGCCGAAAAAGAGGAUGAUCAGUACACCAAUCACCAACAGCAAUAAAGAAUGUGGUCAGUCGUCAAUUACCAAAUUGGUAAUUCCAAACAAAACACCUCGACUUACUUCUGUGUCUGAGGAGACUGAGACUAUAAUGAAUACCCCUGAUGAGUCUUCUGAACCCUUCCAGGAGCUGCUUCAAAUCCAACCCCUCCUGAGUCUGCAACGUUGCCAUAGUGUAACAAUGAAAACACUGCAGUUCACCAACAACAACAGACCAAAUCUUCCUCAUCACUACAAUCUUCAAGUCAACCUCAUGAUUCAAGCUGUCGAACUGGGUCUUAAAAAAACCCCUGUUAUUUUCCUUCAAGUUUUGGCCAUCACAUCCCCAAAAUCUUUAUCAUGCUGAUGUUCCAACACACACCCAUUCUAAAGGAAAUGUCACUUCCAGUGGCAAAGAAAACAACAAAAAUUUGUUAUUGUGCCAAAUGUACCAUAUUUUAGAUUUAUAUUUAUGUUAUUUUAUUUUUUUUGUCACAUGGAUGGAAUAAAUGAUAACAAAACUCAUAUUUUAUAUGAUGUAGGGAUGAUAAUUUUUUUAUGAAAGCAUGUAAUAUUUGU